rnacentral:rRNA from 1 species
AUUGAACGCUGGCGGCAUGCCUUACACAUGCAAGUCGAACGGCAGCACGGGAGCAAUCCUGGUGGCGAGUGGCGAACGGGUGAGUAAUAUAUCGGAACGUGCCCAGUCGUGGGGGAUAACGCAGCGAAAGCUGUGCUAAUACCGCAUACGAUCUAUGGAUGAAAGCGGGGGAUCGCAAGACCUCGCGCGAUUGGAGCGGCCGAUAUCAGAUUAGGUAGUUGGUGGGGUAAAGGCUCACCAAGCCGACGAUCUGUAGCUGGUCUGAGAGGACGACCAGCCACACGGGAACUGAGACACGGGCCAGACUCCUACGGGAGGCAGCAGUGGGGAAUUUUGGACAAUGGGCGCAAGCUUGAUCCAGCCAUGCCGCGUGCAGGAUGAAGGCCUUCGGGUUGUAAACUGCUUUUGUACGGAACGAAAAGACUCUGGUUAAUACCUGGGGUCCAUGACGGUACCGUAAGAAUAAGCACUGGCUAACUACGUGCCAGCAGCCGCUGUAAUAC